rnacentral:rRNA from 1 species
UACGAAGGGGGCUAGCGUUGCUCGGAAUUACUGGGCGUAAAGGGAGCGUAGGCGGACAUUUAAGUCAGAGGUGAAAUCCCGGAGCUUAACUUCGGAACUGCCUUUUGAUACUGGGUGUCUUGAGUGUGAGAGAGGUAUGUGGAACUCCGAGUGUAGAGGUGAAAUUCGUAGAUAUUCGGAAGAACACCAGUGGCGAAGGCGGGUUGCUGGGCUGACACUGACGCUGAUGC